GACGAACGCUGGCGGCAGGCCUAACACAUGCAAGUCGAACGGGAUCUCUAGCUUGCUAGAGUGAGAGUGGCGCACGGGUGAGUAACACGUGGGAAUUUACCAUGGUGUCUGGGACAACUUCUGGAAACGGGAGCUAAUACCGGAUAAUCCCUUCGGGGGAAAGAUUUAUCGCACUAUGAUGAGCCCGCGGCAGAUUAGGUAGUUGGUGGGGUAAGAGCCUACCAAGCCGACGAUCUGUAGCUGGUCUGAGAGGAUGGACAGCCACACCGGAACUGAGACACGGUCCAAACUCCUACGGGAGGCAGCAGUGGGGAAUAUUGCACAAUGGGCGAAAGCCUGAUGCAGCAACGCCGCGUGAGCGAAGAAGGCCUUUGGGUCGUAAAGCUCUGUCGAGAAGGAAGAUAAUGACGGUACUCUCGAGGAAGCCCCGGCUAACUACGUG
rnacentral:rRNA from 1 species